GUCCCACCCGGUAUAGACAGGGGUAGAAUGUGCCAUGAAGUUCCAAGCCAGAUACAAACACCUCCCCUUCAGGAAGAGAGGUCGGACGACAAUGGAAAGAAAGGUCAAAGAAUGGUGCUUGGGGACUCGCUAUGCAGGGGGAUUGCGGGCGAUAUACCCAACUGCUCAGUAAUAAGCAAACCAGGAGCUAACCUGAAGCGAAUGCAAACAAUA